rnacentral:lncRNA from 1 species
UGUAACUCCAAGAUACCAAACCUCUAAACACUGACCACGUACACAGAGGUUCAUAACAGCAGCAGUGAGAAGUUAAACAGUCAUACACCACUGAGAGCACCUUUCUUGGCAACAGGUGACUGCGUGACACCAUGAAGAUCUUUAUUUCAAUAACGUUCCUUCUGGCUGUGGCAUCUGCUGUGCCUACAUUCUGGUAUCGAAACAAAAUCAGUACUCAGGAGGACAACUCAGAAAUCCAUGGGGGCGCUAUUGAGAAUGGAGGCACACCAAUUGGAACUGAUGGGGCAUUUGGAGUGACAGCAGGAAAAGGCAGUGAUAACAAAGAAGUGGAAAGAAAUGACCCAAAAAUUAUGAGGUUGGUGAUGCAGAGAUAAGAGAUAAACAGGAACUGCAGAGUCAUGGUGCCAAUUAUGAAUUUGAUGAUAAAGGACUGCAUGGUGAUGAUCCAAUGGCAUUCUAUGGAAUACAUGGUGAUGAUCCAA